rnacentral:rRNA from 2 species
UAUCAAUAAGCGGAGGAAAAGAAACCAACAGGGAUUACCUCAGUAACGGCGAGUGAAGCGGUAAAAGCUCAAAUUUGAAAUCUGGCUCUUUUAGAGUCCGAGUUGUAAUUUGUAGAAGAUGCUUCGGGUGUGGUUCCGGUCUAAGUUCCUUGGAACAGGACGUCAUAGAGGGUGAGAAUCCCGUAUGUGACUGGAUACCUAUGCUCAUGUGAAGCUCUUUCGACGAGUCGAGUUGUUUGGGAAUGCAGCUCAAAAUGGGUGGUAUAUUUCAUCUAAAGCUAAAUAUUGGCCAGAGACCGAUAGCGCACAAGUAGAGUGAUCGAAAGAUGAAAAGCACUUUGGAAAGAGAGUUAAACAGUACGUGAAAUUGUUGAAAGGGAAGCGCUUGCAAUCAGACUUGCACUUGGUGUUCAUCAGGGUUUCUGCCUGUGUACUUCAUCAAGUUCAGGCCAGCAUCAGUUUGAGUGGUUAGAUAAAGGCUUGGAGAAUGUGGCCCUCUUCGGGGGGUGUUAUAGCUCCAGGUGCAAUGUACCUACUUGGACUGAGG